GACCGUGCACAUAGUAUCCACUAAAAGUAUAUCCAUACCAGAACGCUAUAUUCAGGAAAAAGCACUAUGGCGGUGGAACGCAUACGUCACCAGAAGUUGCAUACGGGCACUGGAACGCAAACCCAGGAAGAGGUCCGAUCGGAGAGCACAAACGCAACCGGAAGCUCAUUAUGGACAUAACACACGCUACCCUAAUAAAUAGAUGAGUGAAUGCCGGGUGGAUGGAUCUGCAAUCCUGAGGAAGCCUUACCAAAGGCGAAACGCGUCGAUCCCAGAUUUCAUCGAUCCUGAACUGUGCCGCUCAGCGCUGAGAACGGCUCGUACAGGAUAUCCGCCAGCGGACCCUGGACUCACCCGUCACAAGGAGCCAGAAUGAAAAGACUGUUGGAAGCUCCCACUCUUGAACAUGCCACUUACAACUGCCCAUGGGAGAAGCAGGCAGUUUACAGGUCAAUGGUAUACCUGCUUCCUUCAAGGACUGGCUUUGGGCCUUACUGAUGGUUAUUGCAAUCUUUUGAAAUCAAAUGGCAUAUCUGUUGGUAUGAGCGGAUGCGGUUGUGCUUUAACAGUGAAUUGUCAUGAAAAGGACAACACUUUUGAAGGCUGAGACGUGAAAAGAAGUAAACUUAGUUUGAAUGUGUUUUACUAAAGGGGGAAAUCUUUGAGAAGGAACACAGAAGUCAUUCACACCUGGAUAACAAUGCAAAUUAGGAGUACAUGAUAUGGCAGCCACCUCCUUAACUCCUGUUGAAAUAAAGAGUCCAUAUACAAUAGCCCUCACCUUUGUAUCAGAACCUGGGGCUUAAGAAAAGUGUCUGUUCAUCAUUGAUUAGUUCCAGGCAUCAAAAAACAGAAGGAGCUCCCUGGAAACUAUCCCUAUGUUAUGAAGAUGAUUAACCUGUAUCACCUAAUUACCUAGACAAAGCUGAGUAUUUACUUUGUUUGUUACUUCUAAUAAAGUUGGUUGGUCUCAA